AGACUACUCCCUUCGUCCGGAAAUACUUGUUCUUAAAAUGGUUGCAUGUAGAUUUAUUUUAGUUAUAGAUACAUCCGUUCUAUUCAUUUUGAGGACAAGUAUUUCCGGACGGAGGGAGUAUUAA
rfam:Triticum aestivum genome assembly, contig: Triticum_aestivum_CS42_TGACv1_scaffold_405242_5BL